CAGGCUUCCCCGGACACCGCCUGGAGGCAACACCUCUGGACCAGAACAUCAAUACAGAGUGAAGAAGAAGAGCAAAGAGGGAGCAUUUAGUAGG